UCUGUUCCACUCUAAAAAGCAAAGGCUGCUUGCCACUUCCCAUGCAUAUAAAAAACCCACGUCAAACUGUUGGACAAAAACUGCAACUAAAUCUAUGGGUUCUUCUUGUCCCCCCCUCAGCUUGCUCAGAUCGAGCUGCUGAGGACAAUCGAAUGCGCCAUUGCUAACAAGUCGAUCCCCCCCCCCCCCCCGCUUUCUCUGUGCAUGAAAGAGACAUGGCAUGGCGAGUGGUUGCUGCUGUUUUAAUAGAGAAAAUGCUGGCGGAAGGUGAACGUACCGCGCACAGGGUAAGGUUCUUCAUAGUAUUGUGGUGAAACUUCAUUAUGUUAAAGGAGCCUUGAAGAUCAUCUGUCUUUGCAAAUAAGAAAAAUGGUUCCAUUCUCUUCUCCAUAUACGGGACAGUUACACUCAUAUUCACCUUGAAAUGAACAGGCUUCAUUAUGGGGCUAUAGGGUUUCCAUAGUAAGUUAAAAAGGCUAUGUAAUCUGGGGCACCACAAAGCAUACCUUGAUGUUUUUAACUUAUGGUGCAUUUUUCCUAACAUCUGGCAAGUGGAGUGGUACAGAUAAGUCUGCAACACAUCAUGGGGAUCUUUGUGUAAACUGAGGUGAGUGUUAGAUUAUGCCUUGCAUUGUACCACCUUUGAUCUAUGCAUAUUUUCCUAUUUGAUCUCGGCACAGCACAUUUAGCCAUGUACUAAGGAGUUCUUUCCCCUUUGUCUUUCAAAUGCUAUUGCAUUGGACAUUCUCUAUCUUUUCAAAUGUAUGUUUAAGGUUGAAUAUAUGUAAUGUUCCCUUAUUCUGCUAUUGUUCACUUACAAGAUAAGUUUUAUAUACUGUAAAUUUUAUGUUGUACCAAAAAUAUAUUAUCCUGCAAGCAAAUUGAGUCUAAUGUUCUCAAUGUGCCUGUAAUUCUUUUGCAAUUGAGUGAAGUGUGAAAAUUCAUUUGAUUGCUCUUACUGAAAGAUAGGAGGGGUGGGAGAUGGAAAUUGUUUUACUUCUGCCAAGUGAGCACGAGAAGUACGGAUUAUGCAUGUCACUGUUGGAGGGAGGAGGGAGGAAACGUGCUUCAAAAAUGCAUCACCAAAUUCAAGGGAAAAGAAAAGGACUCAGGACAAAUAUUUGUUUUUCUCCAGCAUUUAUUCAGUAAAUAUCCAUUAACACAGAACAAGUUAAUCAAAAUAAACAAAGAGCUAAUUAAGGUUUGAGCUAGUAAAAAAAUAGGUUUGGCUUCCAGGCCACAAACAUCUCAAAAUCAGAGAUUUCCAUGGCUGCUCACAGACUUCUGUAGGAUAAAAGCCAACAGUGAUUUUUCUGAAAUGGACCCAAAAAUAAAGCUUCACUUUUGCUCUUUGCUUGAAAACACUGCUGCACUAAAAAACAAACAAACAAAAAAAAACUAGAUAGCAGAUUUCAUAGUAAGCAGUUGGGCCUGGUCAGGCUUCCAACAAAAUAUAUGAAUUGCAGGAGAUGGUACUGUUGAUUUGGUAAAUGGUAGUUUUCCUUCUCAGUCAGUACUUUAGCAUGGCACUAAAGGCACUGUGCUUCUAGAGGUGUCCUCUGUCAGAUGAGGGUAAUAACCAAGCUCCUGACCACUUGUAAUUAUGUAAAUGUCCCAUGGCACUUUUCACAAGAGGAGUAUUAAUCCUGUUAUCUUAAUCAAAUUUCACCUUGAGUUAUCACAUUCUGUCUCGGGAUAGACAGGAGCAGGUUGGAGGGGACAAAGCAGGAGAGGUCAUGCUUGUGGGGAAUGGGCAGAAGAGUCCAUGUCCACUAGAACACUAUCCUGUCUAGAGACUGGGAUUGAACCCAAGAUUCCUGAAUCUCACCAUUCCUCUGAUGUUAGCAUAUAUUUCUGAAACCCACUGGGAAAGUAUCUCAUCCCCGUCUAGUGCUGGUCCACAUAGAGUAACUGAUAGUAUUAGUAGGCUGUUCUCCUUUGUUAGAUCAAGUGGCAGAGGUCUGUGAGGUGGUGUUAUGGAGCAUUGGUGGUCUGGCCUAGUGGUCAGAGCAGGAGUCAUGUCUAGUGGGCAAAGCAGCACUCAGGUUGGGGAAUGGAGUUGAAGGUCAGUACCAGAGUCAACUGCCAACUACCAGAGGCAGGGUCAAGCCAGAAUCAGAGCCAGGAAUCGAAGGUUAGGGUCAGAGUCAGGAUCAGAUACCGAAUUUCGGAGUCAGAAGUCAGAGCUGGGAGUCAAAGGCAGGACUAGUAACUGAUGGCCGGAAAUGGGGCAUAAGAGCAGGAACUGGAGGAGAGGCAGGUAGCAGGCAUGGAGCAGGAGCGCAAUGGGAACUAAGAGCACAGGCAGGGGCAAGGCAGGAGCCAGAAGUGGAGCAAGAAUGAGGAACAGGGUUGGAUACAGAGUGCAGGAAUCAGGCGCAAGCAGGGUCCAAUGCAGCAGCAGCAACAGUGAGUCACCUGGUUGCUCAGAUAACUUCUUUGCCUCCUUCUGGCUUAAAUAGCAUGGUUGGGACAAUUGGUGGAGCCAGGCAAUCCUCUAACCAAGGAUCCGCAGGGCGAUGCCUUGGCUGAGGCUACCCUUGCUAGCUCUUCAGCCCACCAAGCUGACACCCAAGUCUGAUGAAGACAGGAUGUGUUAGCUGUCUGGGAACUCACAUGCCAGAGACAUCAGAGGUGGAUCUAAAGGUUCCAGCCCAGCUGAGGAAACGUGUGUGUUGAUGUGAUGCCACAUGAUGUAAUUUGUUUUUUCAAUUUUUGUCUCUUUAAAAACAAGGAAAUUACAUACAAGACAGCUACAUUAAAAGAACGUUAUUAAGGUUGCAAAGCUAAACCCUCAAAUUAGGAAAUGCCAGCGUUAAGGCUGUCUGUGCAGCCAUCAUUUGGCCCCUUUGUGUGUAUCCAUUAUGAUACAGUCUUCAAUUACAUGAUCAUAUACUAUUUAUUCUACAAGAUUCCUGCCUCAUUCUAUGCACGGGAUGGACCUGCAGUGGGGUGAAUCAGAGAUGUGUAAUGAAGGAGAUUAUCGUCUGUAGGACAGCUGCCUCAUUUGUUGUAGAAGUUCAAAGGUAAAUGUCUUUAAAGGGGUUCUGCUCCUCUUCCCAGCUGGACAAAUAUGUACUCCCUGCACCACCAAAGAGUCUUUGAACAAGAAAGCAGCUACCUUCUUUUUCGAGUGUCAGCCUGCUGGAAAGUCCUAUAAAGUGCAGUGCUGUGCUAUCACUCUAAGGAGUGUUGCAUGUGGAUACAGCACCUAAGGAAACUGAAGCCUUGAAAGCAUACCAUCUCUCUAGGCCCCCAUCUCAGAUUGCAUAGGAGCCAUUCUCACCUCUGUCUAGUGGGUAUCUGUGGCCCAAAGCACAUCAGCAUGCCAGAGUGGUUACCAGUCCUUCAUGUAGACUAAGUCUGUCCAAUAGUAUCACAGCAGGUCCUCAAGACCACCUUAGACAGCCAGAUCCAUCAGAAGUAGGCCUCUGGCAGCCUGCCUCCUCUUCUUCCAGGACAAGGCAAUGGUGGACAUCUCCAUCACACUGAGGGAAGGAAGCAGUGGCAAGGUACAUGCAGUAAUAAUCAUAUUUUUACAAAAGUCAAUAAACAAGAUUUUUAAAAAUUAGGCCCCAGUCUUGCAUUGUCAUCUGCCCUGGGCCUGGGUGAAAGCAAUUGAAGGAUUGGGGUCCUACAGAAGAAAAUGCCAGAGAAGAGUGGUAGUUGAGAAAAAGGAGAUGGAGUUUGUUGUUUACUCCAAUAUUAAAUGGUCCAUUUCCCGGAUACAAGCUCAUAAAAAGAGGAGUUCCUUGUGAUUACUUAGUAAUUCAAACCUUACAACCCUCCUCAGAACACAUGGAGGCAAGAAUUGCAGUGUGGACAGGGCUUUCCAAGGUUUGCUGUAUAAUGUUUAUCAGUCUCCCAAUUGAUCCCAUAAACCAACAUCAACAAGCUAAGGGCUGCGGAGUGAUUACCUUUACAUGAGAAAAACAAAGAUUCCAUGUAUUCAUGGUUCAGUGCAGGUCAGUGUAAACUAUAUGAAGAAUCAUGGGCUAUCAUCUUACUUUGUCUCUUGAUUUCAUGCAUUGCAAAGUAUACGAGAACUGAUUCCUUUGGUUGAUUUGAGAUGGGUUGUUGGACCUGGUGGUAUACUCUAUGAAUAAUGAGCCUGCGGGGUGGAUAAAAAUGGAUGAUUUUUAAAAAAUUGAUUUUUUUAAAAAACUGGAUUGUUUUAUUUUAAUUAAAUACAGGGUUAUUUUUUAAAAGUAAAUUUUAAAUUAUGGCAACCUAUGUUAAGGCCUAAAUUUCAUCCGUUAAAAUGAUUUAAAAUUAAAUUAAAAUAAAACAAAAAUAUUAAUCAGUAUGUUUUCUGCUGAAGUUUUAAAGAAAGUCAAACACUGAACUGGUGGACAUCACUGCCUGAACACCUGUUACCAGAGUUUGUUGAACUGCUAAACCAGCUUUUGUCAGCACUAGCCUCCUGCAGAUGGAGAGAGAAUAUUUUCUUCAUUUCAGUUUAAUCCACUAGUUCAGUUCAAUGACUAGAUCAUGCAAAGUUAAGAAACCAAUAAGGAGCUGAAAAUACAGGAGAGUUGUUUUCUUCUUCUAGUCUAUAAAUAAAAACUAGGUGUGAGAGAAUGAUCUCUAAUAGUUCUAAAAUCUUGAAGGACAAUGGUGACCAUAAAGAAUCAGUUCAAUUCACUAGCUACAGAUAAUACUUUGUUUAAUAAAUCAGUUAGUUUUAAAUGCAAACACGUUUUGAUAAACUUUUUUCCUUAUGUGUCCAGCACAUGUAAAAUAAUUUUAUUUAACUAAUAAAAAAGCAGUUUUAAAGUGCUGCAUAUGUGCAUUUUUAACUAAAUUUGAAUUUCCAAAUAAAACCUGAUACAAAUCACAAGUAAAAAGUGACUCAUUAUCUAGUAAAAAAAAUAUGCUUCAUUCACCAUUUUCAAACAUAAUAAAAAAUGUAAACAUUAAGGAUCUGAAUAAAUGUAAAUUAGGCUAUGUAAUUGCUUAAAUAAAUGUGUAUUGUUAUAGUGUACCCUCCUGGUUAACAAAAAGAAGCACCACAUUUAGUGUAAAGGCUAUAGUUAGUUAUAAAUCAACAUGUUUUAAUGGUUACCAACCAAUCAGAAUCAGCCUUUCCUUAGGAAAAUAACUGAAAAGUACAAAUGCAAAACAAGAUUAAAAUUGAUGAUUUUAAUCAAAAUUCCCUGCUUACUGAUUUAAAUCAUGAUUAAAAUCAGUGCUUUAAAUUGGUUGAUUUAACGCAAUCCUUCCUCUAUACCCCAUGUGCUAUUGCUUAUUUAUUGUUUGUUGCAUUCUGGUUGGCUCUGAAGAUCUGUUGUAUGCUUCAGUCAAUUAGAGGAGACAAUAUCUGCAUAAAUACAAGUUUUUAAAAGUAUUUUUAUAAAUAAGCCAAUUCCUGACUGAAUAAAGUUUUUGCUUUGUUUUUAUUUUUACUCUUUACUUUUAACACUACUGUCAAAAGUAAAACAUUGAGCCAUCAAUCAGAUCUAGCACAGCUUCCGUUUGGUAUAAGCCACAUGGUUUUAGUCAUCACCAUCCUUUGCCUAAGCCCUGAAACUCAAAAUAUGAUAUUGGGUGAAAUCGUAGUCAAUUGUCAAUAUUUCCCUUUUUAACUGUGCAUGAAAAAGUCAAAUUAGUUUUUAAAACAAUGAGAAGCAAAUACUCAGAUGUCAGGGUUACACCGUAUUUUCUAGAAGCUAGGCAUCGGUCCUGGGAGGUGUUGAAUUUCCUCAUCCCCCCAAGUUCAUUGGGGGUUGAGGGAACUCAGAUUCUCAGAAGAUUAAGCCCAUAAUGCAGACAGAAAUGAUUUGUCUUUCACAAAGUCUUUCAGUUAUUAUAGCUUUUGUCACAUCCAGGAGGACAGAAAAGUCCCACAGAGCUAAUGUAUGUUUGAACAUGUUGACAUAGCAUGGCUGAUGUGGCAUACCACUGGGAUGAUAUUUAAUUCACUGAUAUGUGCUAAGUAAAUAUGUGGCUAGAUAAAACCAUUUUGUUCCUCUCUUAUAUUAAGUAUGAGCAUCUAAUGGUAAAAAGCUACCUAGGGAAUAGAACAUCACCCGGUAUUUGUUUUAUAAAACUGUGUAAAGGUUUGCCAAAGCUGUCACAGUAUGGUAGCUGUGGCCAUUUAUUUUUCCAGAUCCUAAGUUUGAGGGCUUUUGCUUGCGUUGGAAUCUUUUUUUUAAAACAGAGAUUAAUAAAUUUUAAAAUAUUGAGGCUGCUGAACAGAUUUGUUGAUCUAGUAAUGAUACAUUACUGGCUAAAGGCCAAAUUCUGCUCCCGGACACACCCAAACCUGCAUCCCAUCAUAUGUAACCUCAUCAUUAAAUCCUACGGAGGCACAUUUUGACUAAUUCUAAAGACAAAACACAGAAGUGGCUAUUGUGAUAGCUAAACCUGUUUGAAGUUAGCAGUCUGCCUGUGUCAUACCAAGUCAGAAAUUAUCAGCUGCUCCAUAAUGAGAUCAUCCUUUUUUCAUAAAAGAGUGCUGAAUUUUGUGGGAGAGCAAGUAAUAAGGUAAUAUAGGCUCUUCUGACACAAGUAUUUGUUUCUAUACAUGGUGCUAGUUGAACCAGACCAAGCCUCCAGUGCUGCAGUGUGGGUGGACCCCAUCCCCUGCCUGCACCUGAAAGGAGUGUCAUUUAUGGUUCUGCCCACAUGGAACUCCUUGCAGUAUUGGGGCCCAACUAAGUCCCUUAAUCCCCCGGAAACCCCGAUCUAAGGCAGUUACCCCCAAUUUCCAAGCCAUUUUUCUCCAGUUACCUACUCACACAUUAGGGUCUUGCAUUCUUUAGAAGAUGGACCAUUGAGGCAGUAAUGAUAAUUAAUAAGUGUCUUUUAAAUGCUUAACAACCUAGCACAGAUACCACCUUUCACAAACUAGGUUGUCUGGCUCAAUCUAGUUUCAGUCAGGCCUCUUGUUAAAACAUAUGAGCAGUUUAGUUUGUUCCUUUUUGUCAUGAACUAGAAAUUAUGGACAAAGAAUGUCACACAAGGCUUUAAAGAUCAUCAUCAACAGUUUGAUUUGCAACUGGAAACAAACAGGAAGCCAGAGUAGUGAUUUGACCACAGGUGUUAAGCAUUCACACUGGCCCAUACUGUGCUAGAGGGAGUAAUAGACUAAUCUUGGUCUGAUUUUUUUAAAAGUUAUUUCUAAUGUUAAGUGUCUUGACCUCCGCUAGGAAAUGCUAACUGUGGGUGAGAUUCUGCAUGGCCCUCACAUUGCUGAACACUGUAAGAGGAGUAUGCAAAGAGAGCCUUUACUUCCCCUUGAAUGUCUAUGUAAAGGCCAGGCAAAAUUGCAGUCUCUGUGCUCUUUGGAGAAGCCAAAAAGGGUAAGGAGGAAGCAGGGCUAAAACUAGCUUUCAUACAAAAGCCUGCAAAUUAGGACCAGCAAGAAGAGUAGAGCAGGUGAAGGGGUUUAGUGGUUUGCAUGCUUCCCUGCAGGCAUCCUGGGAUAGGAUGUGGACUGUCAUAAAAGCACCACCAUUGGAUCCAAUCCUGAAAGAUGCUGAAUGCCCCUUAACUCUUUUCAGUAGGAAUGCUCAGCAUGUCACAAGACUGGGCCCUCUAUCAUCAGGGCACGGGGCCAAUCAAGCAACCUUGUGCAGUACUAACCGCCUGUAGGUAAUAAACCUACAGUAUGGGAACUUCUCCCAGGGGACUGAAGAAGCACUUACAAAAGAAAUUGGGGGUGACAGCAUGAGCUCUGCUGGAGGAUAAGAGGGAACUGUACUGGGGAAGGGAAUUCUGAUGCCAUGAGCUCAGGGCACCAAGCUGGCAGGCAAUGAAACCAGCCUUUUCUCUGAGCCUUCUCUUACUCCUCCCACUCACACUGCAGUUGAGCCAUUCCCACCAGCCUUUGAAUUCUUUCCCAUUGGAAGACAGCAACAACCAGAGCUUUUCUUUUGCUUUUCUGCUCCUUGUACUGCCUCUAAUGAUGAGCUAGGCCCUCCCUUAUUCAGGGGAGCAAUCCUCAUUCAUGUGAGUGGUCCUGUGAUUAAUGAUUGCAGAAUCAGGUCCCUAGUUAGAAAUUUUAUGGAGAGAUUAAACCUACUAAAAAAGGAGGAGAAACUCUUGGGGUCCCCAAGGCUAACCUAAUCCCUAAAACGUCUUUUUAAAAAGACCAAGCCUAAUGUAUUCUUGGCCAUGACGCUUAUUUCUAAAAUGUGAAGGCUAGCCAAAAAUUCAUUCCAGCUGCACUUCAAAACUAUACACGUAUAACUAGGAUUAAAAAUAAGGAAAUGUCAUUUAAUGACUGCAUCUAUUGAAAUAUAAUGUCUUGGAAGAGAAUGUUGUCUGAACUCAGCCAUUUACAAUAGUUAGGAUUUUGAAAAAUCCACAAAAUGAAAAGAACUUUAAAUUGAUUAUUCACAUCAUUAUAAUAAACGUAUAAAAAAAGUGGAGCACUAGUGACUCUACAGAAGUAACAGCCAUUAUGACAGAGCUGCACUGAUAAUGUGCCACUGCAGACAUUCUUAACGUUACUCCACAACAUAACUAGCUGCAGUAAAAGAAAAGUAAAAGAAGAAAUGGUUUGCAGCUAUCCUAUAUCGCAGGCAGAGUGAUAUAAUGUAACAUAUGUUUUAAAAUGAUAAAGACUUGCAAGAAUAAGAUACAGAUUCCAGGAACAGAAAAAUCUUCAUAGAUGCCCAAACAAAGCUAAAUCCUGUAAUAGUUGAAUAAUUGUAGCAUUCUAUAUCUAGAAGUUAAAAAAAAUCCCAAACCAUCCCCUUAGUGGCUCAUCUGGUCAACACUCUGACACACAAAGCCUAGUGCUCUUCCUUCAAACCUAAGAAUUAAUCAGCAUUAUGUAAGAGAUUUUUUAUAACACUCUAAAAAUACAUUGUGAAUUCCUUUCCAGUUUUGGACUAAGAAGCUUUAAAGUAACCCCCCCCCCUUUUAAACAAAAACAGUGGAUCUUCAUUUUUUUUAUAUUAGGAUCUUAAUUUGUCUCAGUAUAUGUGUUUCAAAUCUCAUUAAUUACAAUAUUGGUCCCAUGAGAUGCAAUACUGUUGCAAAGAACAGUGUUUGUACUAAAAACGAUUUGAGCAAGGGCACAAAUAUGUUUUAUGUACAUGUGUAAAUACUUUUUAAAGAGGACUAAUGACACAAAACUUCAUAAGACUGUUUGGAUGUUUUCAUGUUAAUCUAUCUGUUUACUGAACAAACUUUUGUAUCCAUGUGAUGUUUUGUUUGCAUUGUAUUGAUAACACAUAAUACAAGAUGAUAGCACUCUU